UAGGGAAUUUUCCGCAAUGGGCGCAAGCCUGACGGAGCAACGCCGCGUGAGUGAGGACGGCCUUCGGGUUGUAAAACUCUGUUCUUGAGGAAGAACCCUUCCGAGGCGAACAGCCUCGGAAGUUGACGGUACUCAAGGAGAAAGCCCCGGCUAACUACGUGCCAGCAGCCGCGGUAAUACGUAGGGGGCGAGCGUUAUCCGGAAUUAUUGGGCGUAAAGCGCGCGCAGGCGGCCGAUUAAGUCAGGUGUGAAAGGCUGCGGCUCAACCGCAGAGCGGCACCUGAAACUGGUCGGCUUGAGUGCAGGAGAGGGGAGCGGAAUUCCCGGUGUAGCGGUGGAAUGCGUAGAGAUCGGGAGGAACACCAGUGGCGAAGGCGGCUCUCUGGCCUGUAACUGACGCUGAGGCGCGAAAGCGUGGGGAGCAAACA
rnacentral:rRNA from 1 species